GGGGAGGGUGAGCCGGGCUGAGCUGCCCUUCUCGGGAAGGCCCCCCGGGACCGCUGCCCUCUGAGGCAGAUAAGACGGGCGGGGCCGCUGGAAGGAAAAUUCCUGGCCUGGGGAGCCCCAUGCUGCCUGCCACCCUCAAGGCUCUGCUCAGAUGCCACCUCCUCCGUGAAGCCUUCUCGGAUUCCUCCUUGGCCCCUGGACCCAGAGGUGCCCUUGGGGGGCCUGGCUUCCUUCCCAUCAGACAAGGGCAGGGUCGAAGCUCAGGCCGUGAGGCAGGUGCUGUUCCGGGAGCUGCUGCGACUUGCCCUUUCCUGAGCUGAUGCAGCGGAGGCUUCGAGGGUGCAGGGCAUGGUGGGGCCUGGGCCCCCACAGGCUGCUUUCUGCAGAGAGGGAAAGACAUCGAUUUGUUGUACCGCUUAUUGAUGCAUCAUUGGUUGAGUCUUGCAUGUGAGCCCUGACAGGGGCUCAAAUCUGCAACAUUGGCGUAUCAGGUGAGCUCUGAUCAACUGAGCCACCAGGCUGGGCCCGGGCUGCGUCUGGAUCCAGCUGCAUGAAGCUACUCACUCCAGAGCCUGAAGCUGCUCACUCUGGAGCCUGGCAGUGACGGAACUGCCACCGUCUGUUUCCUGGGGCCACUUUGUGUGGGGCCCGGGUCACAGUGAGAAGGAGCUCUUGAGUCUGUGGACUGGGAGGGCGAAGUGAGCGUCUCUUCUCGACAGGCAGGGGCUGCAGCGGGGCUCCCGCCCUAGGGCCCUCAACAAGGGCUCGGGGAACACCUCCCUCCCAGCUCCCGGGCCAGGGUAGCGGGGGCGGCAGCAGGAAUUCAGGUACUGCUGGGACAUACCUGUCUCAGGAGCAGCGGCUGGGUUUCAUCGAGGAGUCACACAGACUCGGCACCGACCCUGGGCCAGUGAAGAGAAAUGGCCCGCAGCCCUGCACCGGAACCCAGACCCGCUGAGCUCAAGCCUGGAAGACCCUGGGCCCAGAUGGGGCUGGUGCAGCAGGCGUGGCAUCCUCGCUGGAAAACUGCCUUCUGUGCCAGCUGGUAGCCCAGGGGACACCGAGGCUCCAAGCUGCCACACAGCUCUUGUCGCCCAGCCCUGAGGCUGGGGGCCACUGGGACUGACCCCUGGCCCUGCUGGUCUACAGGACUCGGCUGCCUCUCUGGGGGGCAGCUCUGCCUGCCCCAACCCCCUGCUUGCUCCCGGGGGCCCCACUGGGCAUCCCUGAACUCAGGGUGUCUCCACCGGCACCUGAAACAUCAUGUGAGCCCCGGGGCAGGUUACGUUUUCUAGUAGCCACAUUAAAUGAAGGAAAAACAAACAAGUUAAAUUAAUUGCAAUC